rnacentral:rRNA from 1 species
UACAGAGGUCUCAAGCGUUGUUCGGAUUCAUUGGGCGUAAAGGGUGCGUAGGCGGCGCGGUAAGUCGGGUGUGAAAUCUCGGGGCUUAACUCCGAAACUGCAUUCGAUACUGCCGUGCUUGAGGACUGGAGAGGAGACUGGAAUUUACGGUGUAGCGGUGAAAUGCGUAGAUAUCGUAAGGAAGACCAGUGGCGAAGGCGGGGUCUCUGGACAGUUCCUGACGCUGAGACACGAAAGCGUGG